GUGCCCAGGCUGGUCCUCAACUCCUGAACUCAGUUCUAGGUGCAAUGUUUUAAGGGGAAGACUUACACUAUGAAGCUAGCCCAGAAGAGGGUGACUAGAGUACUGAGGAGUUUCUACCUGGAAGGGCUGUAAGGAAGACAACUGCUAUGUUGUGAGCGGCUCUAUGGAGAGGCCCAUGUGGAGGGAAGUGAGGAAGGCCUCUGGCCAACAGUCCAGGAGGAAGUGAAGCCCUCAGUCCAACAGCCUGUGUGGAACUGAACCCUGCAAACAACUCUGUGUGUGAGCUUGGAAGUGGAUCCAUAUUCAGUCAAACCUUGAGAUGGGACACCAUGCUCUGCUAACACUUGAUUGUGGUCCCAGCUAGGCCACUGCUGAAGUCUUGACUCAGAGAAACGAUGAUAUAGUAAAUGUUUGUUGUUUCAAGUUGGUAAGUUUUGGGAUAAUUUUUUAUAUAGUGAUAAUUUUUUAUAUACUUUAAAAUAACACAUUGCCCUAUCCUUUGGUUACACUUUUCUCUUGGAACUCUGCUUGCCCAUAUAUUACAGAAAUAUUUUUCAGAUCAUGGGCUGAAAGGUGGAUUAUGGAUGCAAUGUUUAAAUUUAGCAAUGUCAUUUAUGACUGUUCAUAUGAGCUUUGCUGCAUAAAAUGUUGAUAUUAAUUUGUUUCCCUUUAAGACAUUCUUAAUGUUUACCUCUCAGUAUUUUCUUUGUAAUCAAUUAAUGUAAGAUGAAUAUAGUUUGUAGGUUUUACCUUUCUUGAUUCGUAUACAAAACACACAACAUCCAACCAUUGUUAUUUAAAGAUUAUCUAGGAGGAGAUGAUGGAAACUCUGUUUUGGGCCACCUUCUUUACACAUUGGGUCUAUUUCCCCUAACUUGAGUAUAUAUUAAACUAGUGGGGGAUUGAGCUACAAAAAUGCUACUUGGUGAGAAUUUUAUUAAUACAAAUACUCAACUCUGAAGUUACGUUUUUGUGGAAAGUUAUCACUUUGGAAUUUGAAUUUUCUUGGAGCUAAGCCACUGGUAGUUGUAAAAGCUACACCUGUAAAUUUGCUCCCUAGAAGAUACUUUCGUUUAGUGACCACUUGUUUCUCUGUGGAUAAAUUCAAUUAUAAAUUACAA
rnacentral:lncRNA from 1 species